CACACACACACACACACAAAAAAAAAAAAAAAAAAAAAAAAAAAAAAAAAAAAAAAUCUUCAUCUUCCUUUUCUUUAC
rnacentral:ribozyme from 12 species